rnacentral:rRNA from 1 species
CACGUAGGCACCAAGCGUUGUCCGGAUUUAUUGGGCGUAAAGAGCUCGUAGGCGGUUCAGUAAGUCGGGUGUGAAAACUCUGGGCUCAACCCAGAGACGCCACCCGAUACUGCUGUGACUUGAGUACGGUAGGGGAGUGGGGAAUUCCUGGUGUAGCGGUGAAAUGCGCAGAUAUCAGGAGGAACACCGAUGGCGAAGGCAGGUCUCUGGGCUGACACUGACGCUCAUGCACGAAAGCGUGGGGAGCAAACAGG